rnacentral:lncRNA from 1 species
GUUGAGUUACAUUCGAAAAAUAACUUGUAACUAACUUUUAAAAACCAAGAACUCAUACAAAAAAACAAGAAAAAUCAUAAUCUUGCAAAUCCAAAAAAGUUUAAAACUUCUGAUUCAAAAUUUUUACUUGAUUAGCCAUAUCGGAAAAAUCGUAGAAAAAAUUGUAGUAAGGUGAUCAAGGAAAAUGAGGAAGAAUUGGACGAGAGAAACGAGGCGGAAAAGAAAAAGAAAAACAAAAAAAAAAAUUUAAAGACGAGAAGCGAUAGACAAAUCUUUGAACAAAAAUCUUUUAGCACAAAUAAUCGCAUACAUGUUGGGGGUGAUUGGUUGGGCUGUAGAAAGUGACUUUAGCUUUAAUUUUCAUCUACAACCUUAA